GCCCAUGGAACAGUUGUCUAAAUCAAAGACCUGAGAAACCCUCCUAUGUGGCAAAUUCCGCCAUACAAACAGUUUGGCUAAGGUGUGUGUCCGCCAGACGCUUUGCUACCCAAAACCCUUUGAAGGGCGGGCGUCGGAUGAAGGCAAGUCUAAAGAUGGACAUGAACGAUCAUUAGUAUUUAAAUACCUGGAUCUGAAGAAGUAUUUAUUAUCUAUGAAGAUUUCUCAAGAGCAGUUUGAAAAAAAAUGAAACAAUUGGGUAUAUUAUACUUGUUAGUGAUUGGGAUGUUUCUGCAAAUCAGUUUGUCGACCAAUGCCCCGGAAACACACCCGGUAAGUGACCGCUUCAUUCGGUCGCUGUGUAAGAGGCUCUCUGAUGAUAUGGCCAACUCGAAACCGAAAUAUAAAAGACAGCCCUGUCCUUGGAAUCCUUGCUGUUCAUGAAUGUUUCCAUGAUCUAUAUGACGUGAUCAGCAAACUGGAAUAAAACAUCUUAUAAAUAAAGAACACUUAU